AUUGAACGCUGGCGGCAUGCCUUACACAUGCAAGUCGAACGGCAGCACGGGAGCAAUCCUGGUGGCGAGUGGCGAACGGGUGAGUAAUAUAUCGGAACGUGCCCAGUCGUGGGGAUAACGUAGCGAAAGCUACGCUAAUACCGCAUACGAUCUAUGGAUGAAAGCGGGGGAUCGCAAGACCUCGCGCGAUUGGAGCGGCCGAUAUCAGAUUAGGUAGUUGGUGAGGUAAAGGCUCACCAAGCCGACGAUCUGUAGCUGGUCUGAGAGGACGACCAGCCACACUGGGACUGAGACACGGCCCAGACUCCUACGGGAGGCAGCAGUGGGGGAAUUUUUGGACAAUGGGCGCAAGCCUGAUCCAGCAAUGCCGCGUGCAGGAUGAAGG
rnacentral:rRNA from 1 species